rnacentral:rRNA from 1 species
UACGUAGGGUGCAAGCGUUGUCCGGAAUUAUUGGGCGUAAAGCGCACGUAGGCGGCCGACUAAGUCGGGUGUGAAAGCCCAGGGCUCAACCCUGGAAGUGCACUCGAAACUGACCGGCUUGAAUAUGGAAGAGGGUCGCGGAAUUCCCGGUGUAGAGGUGAAAUUCGUAGAUAUCGGGAGGAACACCAGUGGCGAAGGCGGCGACCUGGGCCAAUAUUGACGCUGAGGUGCGAAAGCGUGGGGAGCAAACAGG